rnacentral:rRNA from 1 species
AGGUGCGAUCAUACCAGCGUUAAUGCACCAGAUCCCAUCAGAACUCCGCAGUUAAGCACGCUUGGGCUAGAGUAGUACUGGGAUGGGUGACCUCCCGGGAAGUACUAGUGUUGCACCCU